rnacentral:rRNA from 1 species
UUGGCGACCGGCGCACGGGUGCGUAACGCGUAUGUAACCUACCUAUAACAGGGGCAUAACACUGAGAAAUUGGUACUAAUUCCCCAUAAUAUUCGGAGAGGCAUCUCUCCGGGUUGAAAACUCCGGUGGUUAUAGAUGGACAUGCGUUGUAUUAGCUAGUUGGUGAGGUAACGGCUCACCAAGGCAACGAUAUAUAGGGGGACUGAGAGGUUAACCCCCCACACUGGUACUGAGACACGGACCAGACUCCUACGGGAGGCAGCAUG